GCCUCUCUCAGGUUUAUUCUCCAAAGUAAACCUGUCUUUGACUGUUGAGCCACUUUUCUUGUUUCUUUCCUCUUUCUUUAACUCUUACAUAUAGUAUGAUUCCUUUUAUGUAAAAUUAUAGAUAGAUAUAUGAAUAUAUAGUGAGAUGCAUCAAGGAAAUGCCAUCAAAAUGUUAAUAAGGUUUAUCUCAGGUGAUGAGAGUCCAGGUGAUCGGAAGUUUUGGGGUGUGGUUGGGGAAUCCUAUUUUAGGAUUGUAGGCAGCUGUUUUCAGUCCACAUUUACUCAGGAGAACUGAUGGGGUGGGCCUACAAGAAUCUAUUCUCAUGAGGACUCAAAAAGCCCCCUAGGGUAUAACUCCUUCCAAGAGAAAAAGAAUUAGGGGUCCUGCGUUGGGGUCAAGAACAGUGGCUCAGUAUGAGAGGGGAGGGAAAAUUAUGAGUACAUGGUAUCUAUCUUGCAAAUGAAUAACCAGUCAGCCUUAAUCCAUGUUUGCAUUCUAGGGAGGGGACCUCCAAGACACGGCCAAGUGAAGCCAGAAGUGCAGUUACAAAUUUGCUCAUUCUGUCUUUCAUUCAGCAAGUAUUUACUAAGAGCCUACUAAGUGUCCAGCACUGUUCUAAAAGCUGAGGAUACAGUGGUGAACCAAAACAGACAAAACUCUCUGCCUUUGUGGAGCUUAUGUUCUAGUCCUUUCUUUCCCCUUGAAGCACAGAAAGCAUGUCUUCUUACUAUUCCAGUCUUCUUCUUAUUCUUAUACAUCUAGUGCUCCAGAGCAAAGGAAGAAUUAGCUUGCAGCAAGAAUUUCAGCAGGAAUUCCAGAAGAAUUUGUGACACAUGUCAGGCACAUAAUCUGCCUGUCUUCUGCAAAGGCCAAACAGGCCAAGUGAGGACACCUUGAGAUGGUGGACCCCCGCCAGCUGGGAAGAGGACCCUCACCUGACCAUGCUGAUGCUCUGAUUGCAGACUUCCAACCUCCAGAACUGUGAGAAAAUAAAUAUUUGUUGCUUAAACCACACACAAAAU
rnacentral:lncRNA from 10 species